ensembl:lncRNA
UUUUUUUCCCUUAAUACUUGUUUCCUUAUUUGUUAUGUGGUAAUUGCCCAGAUUUAACAUUGCCUUCUUCCCUUUUAAUUUUCAGACUCCCUCAUUCAAGAUGUCCGAGACCUCUUGGGAAGUGGUGCUGAACAACCUUUCCCCUCAGACUGGAGGAACAGGCAAACUACCUCUCUGGAGAAUUGGACAGUAAUGAGGCCCUUCAUGGUGAACAAUAUGUUGUCAUCUGAGAAGCCCAAGGAGGGGGUUUGCCAUCACUGUGGACACAAGGCUGCAGUAGUGAUGUGUAGGGACUGUUUACCGCGAUCACUCUACUGCACAGCCUGUGACCUUUCCACACAUGAGGCCCUGGUGCUUCAUAACAGAGCACCCAUGGUGGAGGGGUUCUUCAGACACCUGCCGCCAUCCACUUUUGUUCAGCAGCACGAGGGAGGGAAAUUCUCCUAUCAUGAAAAAGAUUGCAUGUUACCAAUCGUUCCUCCCUGCUGCGACUGCUCCACUGGGCAAACAAGCUUUUCCAAGGGAAAGCCAGUUAUUUUAAUUGGAAUGAAUGGUAACAUUUUUUUUUAUUAUUUCUUCAUAUUGUGUUUUUUGUUUCUUCUGAACAAGAGAUAAUUGUUUUUGUCUGAAAUUUCAGGAAGAUACAACCUCUUAUAGAUACAACCACAAAUAACACGCCAGUCCAUAUUCUUGGACUAACAAUGAUUCCAAACUAAAAGUACUUCUUCUUCUUUUUCGUAACUCGUCACUUUGUCAACAUUAGUUUCUCCCGCUGCCACAGAUUAAUGUGUUGAUCAGCAAAUCAACCUCAGACGCAACGCAUAUAGUGGGCAGGGGUUUGAUCCGUCAGACGGCGCGAGAUCGCGAGGAAGAGUAUGUGGAAUCUGGGGCCACAGCUAUGCUAGGCGACAGCAGCGUCCAUAGAAACCAAAACGUUGCAGUUUCACGUUAUUCUGGCGAGAUCUGAAAAAUCUUCGCAACAACGAGCAAGCGAGUGAUUAUGUACAUUCACUGAGUGAAUAUUAUGAAAAUGAAAUAUAUAUUUCUCGCUAGAAAUAUAAUCAAAACUUAUUUUUAUGCAGAAACUAACUCAAAAUAUAGAUUUUUUCACUAAAAAUGAGAGAAAUGUCCGCCAUGUUUUUUGUUCUCACAGUCGGAAUCUUGAAAGUCACGUGACUUGGACGCAAAACAAUAGGAAAAGAACAGGCAAAAAAAACGUAACAUUCAUACAAUUCAAGGGCCAUUAUUGUAAGCCCUCUACGUUUUGCACUUUGGACCAACGUAGUCAGGGUACGUUUUUAUAUGAGACUGGGUUGGUGUAAGCCAAGGGUCGGCAACCUUUUCGACAUGACGUGCCAUUUUUAAUUUUUCUGGUUAACCACUGUGUCAAUUACGGUGACGCAUUGCUGCCACACACACAUUAUUUUUUUCCACUCACUUAUGUCGUAAUAACGAGAUGUUAUGUCGUUUUAGCGUAAUCUUUUCUUGUUAAAAUGACAUCUUUUCUCGUAAUAACAAGAUAUUAUGUCGUAAAAACUAUAUGUUUUCCCGUUGUUAUAGAUGGUGCAUUAUGUGAGCGAUAAGUCCGCGCUGGUGUCACCACAGUCUGACAUAAACGAGGAUCUGCACGCUGUUGAAAUUAUUUAAAUACUACACUGUUUUAAAUGUAUUUUAAUGUAAUUGUUUUUAUUUUAGCGGCAUGUUUAUUAGGACUAAUAUCCAAUCUGUCUACAAUAUAGUGCUAUCCAACUCAGACCCAUGACUCUAUAGGCUCCGAUCAGAUCAAAACAGUUAUUUUUGAAUAAUCGACUCUCAUCUUAAUAUUUCUUUAUUUGAAUGACUGAAGUUUGAUUUAACAACAAAUCGAAAUACGAAAAAAAAAGAAAUAAAGAGAUUUUCUGAUAGGCUUUCUUAAGUGUA